GAUGAACGCUGGCGGCGUGCCUAAUACAUGCAAGUCGAGCGAACAGACGAGGAGCUUGCUCCUCUGACGUUAGCGGCGGACGUGUGAGUAACACGUGGAUAACCUACCUAUAAGACUGGGAUAACUUCGGGAAACCUGUUCUAAUACCGGAUAAUAUAUUGAACCGUAUGUUUCAAUAUCGAAUGACGGUUUUGCGGUCUCUUAUAGAGGUAUCCGCGCCGCAUUAGCUAGUUGGUAAGGUAACGGUUUACCAAGGGAACGAUGCGUAGCCGACCUGAGAGGGUGAUCGGCAACACUGGAACUAAGACACGCUCCCGACUCCUACGGGAGGCAGCAGUCGGGCAUCUUCCGCAAUGGGCGGAAGCCUGACGGAGCAAAGCCGCGUGAGUGAUGACGGUCUUCGGAGCGUAAAACUCUGUUAUUAGGGAAGAACAAAUGUGUAAGUAACUAUGCACGUCUUGACGGUACCUAAUAAGAAAGCCACGGCUAACUACGUG
rnacentral:rRNA from 1 species